rnacentral:lncRNA from 1 species
GGAGUUCAGAAUAAAUUGGCUGAUAUACAAUCUCGGCCAGCUAUAACAACACUUUAUUUAUUUACUGUGAUGGAGAUUCAGCCAACUGUACAUGAAGAAUAUGUCAACAUGUAUGGCCAUGAUCCAGAUUUUUAUGACAUAAUAAUUGUGGUGAAAAUUGAGAAACCAUCAUAGUUUACAUUGAGAGAUGGAUACUCUAUAAAGAAUCAUAACU